AACGAACGCUGGCGGCAUGCUUAACACAUGCAAGUCGAACGAGACCUUCGGGUCUAGUGGCGCACGGGUGCGUAACGCGUGGGAAUCUGCCCUUAGGUACGGAAUAACUCAGAGAAAUUUGUGCUAAUACCGUAUGAUGUCGAAAGACCAAAGAUUUAUCGCCUAAGGAUGAGCCCGCGUAAGAUUAGCUUGUUGGUGAGGUAAAAGCUCACCAAGGCGACGAUCUUUAGCUGGUCUGAGAGGAUGAUCAGCCACACUGGGACUGAGACACGGCCCAGACUCCUACGGAGGCAGCAGUGGGGAAUAUUGGACAAUGGGCGAAAGACCUGAUCCAGCAAUGCCGCGUGAGUGAUGAAGGCCUUAGGGUUGUAAAGCUCUUUUACCAGGGAUGAUAAUGACAGUACCUGGAGAAUAAGACUCCGGCUAACUCCGUGCCAGCAGCCGCGGUAAU
rnacentral:rRNA from 1 species